rnacentral:tRNA from 1 species
CGAACCGUGGUCUGGCGAAGCCCCCGACGCACGACUCAUAAUCGUGAGGUCGGGAGUUCAAGUCUCCCCCUUCUACCA